rnacentral:lncRNA from 1 species
AUUUAUGUAAAAUAUAAAAAUUCCAAGACAAAGGAUUCCUUUUUCCCGUGACUGACCAAGAUCAUCAACUCUCAAAUUAAGAGCAAAUAUAUAAUUGAAGUCAUUUUCAGACUAAAACAAGAUUGAUAGUAAAUCCAAACCCCCCAUAAAAGCUAGCCUAAUCCCUGAUAAGAACAAGCACACAUUCUACAUUACAGGUAGGUUUAUUUCCAUUCAAACCCAGGGGGGUUCACACUGCCAGGAAAUUAAAGGAGUGGAGCCGUGAAUUAAUUCCAAAUAUUGAGAUGAAAGACAUGCCAUCUUCCACACCAAACAAAAGAAGUGGGCUCACGGGUCACCUUCCACUCAAUGACUUGAUGAGUAAAAAACAAGCAUCAAUUUGACGUCUGGGAAACUUCUUGUUGGUUGCUGCUACCUUUUUUCCCCUCCCUCCCUCCCUCCUAGUAUCACUUCAAUUCCUGUUGUUUUGAUCCAUCCACAGGUCACAUCGAUCUUGCCAUCCACUAUAGCUUCUUGCAUUUUCCCAGUACCCCAAGAAGAACAAAUGAACUAUGGUAUGGUCCAUUUUGGAAAAUUUCCUCUGAAAAAAGAGAGAGAAGACGCUUUCCUAUUCCCUUAUCAGUGGUAAUCAAGAACAAGCUUGCCCUCUCUUUACCUUAGAGCAAGAAUAUGGAGUCACCAUCUAUGAUUCCCUUACCAGUGGUAAUCAAGAACAAGCUUGCCCUCUCUUUACCUUAGAGCAAGAAUAUGGAGUCACCAUCUAUGCCCAUUGUGAAGUUUAUCCAUAUAGAAGCCCAUUGUGAAAAAAGCAUGGCUUGGUUUGGCUCCUUGGUGAUGCCUUUCGGUGCUGAAGGAUAUUCUGCCAUUGCCCCACAUUUCGUUUAUGGUAG